GCCUUCGUGGUGUAGUGGUCAGCACGCUCGACGCGUAACCGAGAGGUCCGUGGUUCGAUUCCCGGCGAAGAUG
rfam:Stegodyphus mimosarum contig118012, whole genome shotgun sequence.